GCACUUUGGCGCGCACUGUGCUUGUGGCGUCGGAUCCUUACUUCUAUUUAUUUUUCUGUUAACUAUAGUAAAUUCAUUUCUCCAAAGAAAAGAAAUCACGCACGAAGAUGUUCAGUUCUCAGGUGCACCAAUAAGAAGAAUACUUCAAAGCCUGGUGCAGGCUUAUUUCGUGUUUCAAUCCAAAUCAGAAAGUGCCGGUGCUCUUUGCGGAAACCUUGACCCUCUGGAGUUGCCCAAGAUUCUGGAACGAUAACCUGCACCACUAUGCAAUUACAUGUGGAACAAGAACUGACUCCUGUGCUUCAGUGUCAAAUUAAGUGAAUUUCCUGCGACAGAGCAAAGUAAGCAUGACACCUUGGAAUCAGUGCUAAUGGAAUUUCUUUCAGUCAUUUUGGCUUAUUUUUUAAUCAAGGGGUGUUACAGUUAUGGUUGCUGUAUUUUCUUUUCAGUCCAACUGAGAUUCCUCUUUUAAAUAUUUUGUUUUUGAGUCCUGUCCACCAUUUUUGUCUCCAUAUUUUCUGUUGUUCGUGACAAGUCCUAUCGUUUGAUUUUUAAUUUAAAAAGGUCAGUGAAUAAAUACAUUUUUCCUAACAGUU